GGCCUAACACAUGCAAGUCGAACGACAUAGUGGCAGACGGGUGAGUAACGCGUGGGAACGUACCUUUCGCUACGGAAUAGCUCUUGGAAACGAGUGGUAAUACCGUAUACGCCCUCCGGGGGAAAGAUUUAUCGGCGAAAGAUCGGCCCGCGUUAGAUUAGUUUGUUGGUGGGGUAAUGGCCUACCAAGACUACGAUCUAUAGCUGGUCUGAGAGGAUGAUCAGCCACACUGGGACUGAGACACGGCCCAGACUCCUACGGGAGGCAGCAGUGGGGAAUCUUGCACAAUGGGCGAAAGCCUGAUGCAGCCAUGCCGCGUGAAUGAUGAAGGCCUUAGGGUUGUAAAAUUCUUUCGCCAGGGAUGAUAAUGACAGUACCUGGUAAAGAAGCCCCGGCUAACUUCGUGCCAGCAGCCGCGGUAAUACGAAGGGGGCUAGCGUUGUUCGGAAUUACUGGGCGUGAAGCGCACGUAGGCGGACUUUUAAGUCAGAUGUGAAAUCCCGGGGCUCAACCUCGGAACUGCAUUUGAAGCUGGAAGUCUGGAGUUCAGGAGAGGUUAGCGGAAUACCGAGUGUAGAGGUGAAAUUCGUAGAUAUUCGGUGGAACACCAGUGGCGAAGGCGGCUAACUGGACUGAUACUGACGCUGAGGUGCGAAAGUGUGGGGAGCAAACAGGAUUAGAUACCCUGGUAGUCCACACCGUAAACGAUGACAGCUAGUUGUUGGCAGGCAUGCCUGUCGGUGACGCAGCUAACGCAUUUAGCUGUCCGCCUGGGGAGGACGGCCGCAAGGUUAAAACUCAAAGAAAUUGACGGGGGCCCGCACAAACGGUGGAGCAUGUGGUUUAAUUCGAAGCAACGCGCAGAACCUUACCUACCCUUGACAUCCCGAUCGCGGUUUCCAGAGAUGGAUUCCUUCAGUUAGGCUGGAUCGGUGACAGGUGCUGCAUGGCUGU
rnacentral:rRNA from 1 species